GUUACUCUCAAGUGUCCCGCGUUAUCACGGAGUAAGCAAGAUACUAGGGCCGCGACUUAGUUGGUGACUCACACCGCGCUAUUUAGAAAGUUUGCUUCACAGGAAACUGUCUGUGCACGACUGAAGAAAAAGUAAGAUAUUAUUAGCUCAUGCUGAACGAGUGUCCGGGCAAGCGCGGAGAUGACAGGCAAGCACACCUUCCCUUGCACAUCUUCCCUCCACAAACACUAACCCUGUAUAUUCAGAUCAAAACAACUCUAAUCAGUCUAAUCGAAAUAAAAAUCGCUACAACUGACUUUA